GUGCUCACUUCAGUAGCGCAUCUACUACAACUGGAAUAAUACAAAGAUUAGUGUGGCCCCUGAGCGAAGAUGACAAACUCGUGAAGCAUUCCGAAUUUUU
rnacentral:snRNA from 1 species